AGCACUAUGUUCCAGCUAACAGUUUGGCUAGAGAAAGCACUAUUUAAUAGAUCAACCUAUUGAUACCCUGGAAAAAAAUACAGGAGAGGAAAGUGCAUGUGAAAAUGGAUGUUUGAUUUCAUUUUCUUUCUCUAAAGCUGGAAAAUAACCGGCAAUGAAUGAAAUGAGGUGAGCACACAGCUUGCAAUUUAGAAAUUUGCUUUACAGUUUUCUUACCUGCUUUCUCCAAUCAUGAACAUAUACAACAUACAAGUGUAUUUUUAGAAGCAGUGAUAUGAAAAUGUAAAUAUAAAAUGAAUAAUUUCUACCAAUUUAACAGGAAUUUUAAUUUCCUGCCAUGGAGGCUUCUUUAGGUUACUUUUAAAUAGAAAGUUGAUAAGGAGACUUGCAACUGAGUAUGAGAUAAACAUAUGUGUACUGCAUUUCAGGUUUAAAGUGGACUUAAUCCCAAAAUAAGUGUUAGUUUAAGAGGUACUGCUUUCAACAAUUUGCAGAUAAAAUACAAAAAGUCCAAAUACAACAGGUUACUUUUCUGUAUAAAAUUACCUAAGGAUACACAGGUGCCACCUUCCUCCCUCCCUUCUCC
rnacentral:lncRNA from 1 species